ACAACAUACGGACCGUCGGUCUACCGAGCAAUAUCCGCUCGAUGGAAGAUCUUCUUUUCGUCGU
rnacentral:pre_miRNA from 1 species